UUUGGGAUAWYUSUUAAAAAGGGGUGCGAGAAAAGGGGGUCCUCAGAAUAUCCUUCYGCCRCYAGAMUACUCCGCGCAUCAUUAGKUUGUURGUAGGKUAAUGGCCUAKCAACGKGACUAUGSGUAGCUMSUCUGAGAGGAUGAUCASCCACACUGGAKCUGAGACRCGSUCCAGUCUCYUACGRGAGGCAGCAGUGGGGAUUUUYGCGCAAUGGGCGAAAGCCUGACGCAGCAACGCCGCGUGAGUGAUGAAGGCCUUCGGGUCGUAAAGCUCUGUCAGUGGGGAAGAACCGCCGGGUGGUUAAUACCUGCCUGGUCUGACGGUACCCACAAAGGAAGCACCGGCUAACUCCGUGCCAGCAGCCGCGGUAAUACGGAGGGYGUAAGCGUUGUUCGGAAUUAUUGGGCGUAAAGCGCGYGUAGGCGGUUUGUUAAGUCUGGUGUGAAAGCCCUGGGCUCAACCUGGGAAGUGCAUUGGAUACUGGCAAACUUGAGUACGGGAGAGGAUAGUGGAAUUUCGAGYGUAGGGGUGAAAUCCGUAGAUAUUSGAAGGAACACCGGUGGCGAAGGSGGCUAUCUGGACCGAUKCYGACGYUGAGACGCGAAAGCGUGGGGAGCAAACAGGAUUAGAUACCCYGGUAGUCCACGCCGUAAACGAUGGGUACUAGGUGUUGCGGG
rnacentral:rRNA from 1 species